UGUUAAAAGUUUCAUCCAUUUUAAAUUACUUUUAAAAACUGGCUUGGUUUACAGAACAAUUAGAUAGGUCCACGUGCAGAGCCAAUUUUUAAUAGUAGAAAUUAAUGAAAUUUUUAACA
rfam:Gossypium raimondii Chr04_contig_1282, whole genome shotgun sequence.